GUUGAACGUCAUCAGUGCGCGCAGCUCUAUAUGUCCGGCGGGUGGAGAUAACGCGCCUCGGCCUGUUCGCUGUGAGGGGGCUGCGCUGCUAUGGCGGCUGUGGGAGCUGCUAUGGCGGCUGUGAGUGAGCGGCCCCACGGCAGGAGGGGAGGUAGGAGGUGACAAGGUGUCAGGCCGGCUGGUGGUUCCCCUCAGGGGUCGCGCUGUGGAGGGACCUUCGUGCGGCCUGAGUGGAAGCGUCCAGCAGAGAGUGGAGGGGGAGCGGGAACCGCAGCUCCUGAGGCUUACGAUGUCACUGCCAACAAAAAGGUGUGGGGCACCCCCGGUGUUGUCUUCUUUGGGGAAGAAAAAGAGGAAACAAGGUCUCGAUAGGAGCAGAGGGAAAACCAGGAUUUAUGUGGGGAACCAUAUUGACUGAUGGCUGACACUGAAGGGAAAACUGGAUUUCAGAAAUGAUGCAGAAGUUGCUGGAUUUUUAUUGGACUUGUCUGACAGCUACGACCUGCUGACAGAAGCUCCCGUCUGUUCCCUCCCUGGGGGUGUGAGAAGACUUAACAUGAGAGAAGGAAGAACAUUGUCAGACAGCACUUGUUUAAUAGCAGCUGAUGGAAUGUUAUUGGUGUGAUCUCUUUAUAUGUAGAGGGGGCAAAUGAAAUAAUUUUCUUACAGUACUCCAAAGAUUGCAGUUGAGAGGAGGAUGUGGAAGGAACGAGAAAAUAAAAUCAAGUGUAUCAUUUGGCAGUCAUCUCCAGAAUCCUUUCUGUUCAAUGCUGUGUUUGUAUUGUUAAGGAUGUAAUGGUGGUCUAGACAAAACAAAACAUCUUCACAGAGAAAUACAUUGCAGUUAUAAUUUUGGGAUGGAUUUGCAGGUAUGAUGGUGGUGACCAGUCGUCUAAAGAGGCUGCUUGUUCUGAAUGUGGAGACUUCAGAAUUGUCACUGUGAAAGAAGAGCGAGAGAUGCCACCUCAUUGCUCACCAGUGGAGGCAGAUAACACGUUAGUGAUACCAUGGGGUUCUUUUUGCAUGCUUUACGUUUGAAAAUGUUUUGUAUUGACUUUUAUUAUCACUUUUAAUUUAGCUUAUCAGAAACUCACAUCAUUCACGCUCUGAUUCAUUACUUCAAAGUUAAUAGGGGAUGAUCACAGUCACUGUGAGGGAAACAUCUGGGAGAGCUUUUGGAAGAGCUGUUUCUUAGAGUGUGCGCAGCAAACGUCUUGUUUAGUGACUUGUCUACCUGAAGUCUGCAAAUGGAACAAGAAAACAGCUAAUACAUGUGGAAUAUUGGCUACCUUAGUAAAUAACGAGGUUUUCAGUCAUGCAGUAUUACAGGCACAUGUGUGCUUUAGCUUUUUAGAAAACAGAAAUGUUUCUUUCUUGACUGCUCAAGCAGUAACACAUACAGAGUGAUGUGUAAACCUGCUUAGAAGUAGUGCUGUGCUCAAGGAGGCAACCACGCCAUCAGUCGACUGCUGAUGUCUUCUACUGCAGUGUCAUCAGUAGCUGAAGCAUUCACAGUUGAGAGAUCAGAGGAGCCUCAAGUAGGUGUGCUUGUCAUUUACUAUCUAUUCAGGUUUCAAUUAUCCACAAGUGUUACUGAGUAAUUAUGAUUUUCUCCAUGUUUUGGUUCAGACCUUUACAAAUGUAUCUUUUAAUACACGCAGGGGGACACUGAGAACGUAGGACAUUGCAUUGGCAUUGCAUGGUGUGUCCAAACCCUUCGCUCAUAUGAAUAGGUGAAUGUGUUGGUGUUCUGGGAGUAAUUCACUGGCUCAGAAGAAUUAGGAGAAGCUGGAUCAGGAGAAAACCAAUAGCAGUGCUGGUUAAGCUGAGAACUUCAAGGGCAUUCUUAUGACAAUAUGGUUUGGGGUUGGAGUGCUUCAAUACUUUAAUUUCUGAGACUGGCUUUCUGCAGGUGAGACAGAGAUUGUUCUUAACUGAUUGCUUCUUUCUACCCUUUUUUAGAUGUGAGCAAUAAUUAGACAAGUUGUUCAGGGCGUGUGUGUGUGUUUGAAUUCAUGCUGAUUGUAUGGACGAACAAUCAGGUAGGUAUGCAGUGUUAGUUGUAUAAAGAUAAGGAAAGACAACAGUUGAAGAACAAAAAGAUCAGAAAUAAAUAGUAUUUUAUAGGUAAGAUAUCUGAGGACAUACCAUGUUAUUGGGUGGAAGAUUAACCUGCCUGAAGUGGAGAAGUAGUUGCAUGGUCUGUCUAUGAGUGUAGUAACCGUUGUGUGUUCCAGUCUGUGGUCACCACGUCAUCAGUCAUAGUUCUGUUUUUCGUUUAUAGUGUGUUGCUGAGGUACAGUGAUAAUGGUACAUGGGGGUUCUUUGUAGCUGUGGGAAAUUCAUAUAGUGAUUAAGUCAUUUCCAUAGGGUCGUGCUAAUAGCUGAACUUCAGCCUUAGAAGUAAAGUGUGACUCUGUGGCUUUAGACAGAUGUGCAAAUUCUUGGUUCUUUUAGAAAAUAGUGGGUUUUCUUCUGAAAAGGGACAGUGUUAAAGGAAAAUGUCAGAGACCAAACCCUUUAAAAAUCCAUUGUUUGUGAAGGUGUGGCACUGUGCUUCCUGUUAAAGGGUGGAGAUGAAGCUACUGCUUUUCAGGCAUUGGAGUGUUUUGUUUUUAGGCUGAUAUUAUUGUUUCAGAAAACACAGAGCGUGUCUUUUUUAUUUGUGCAAUGAUAUAAGGGCCAGGCAAAGAACCACAUGCAGCAUUGUUUCUGCAGAGAGGUCUUUUUGAAGGUGCUUUAUUGAGAAAUUAUGCAUUAAUAAUCACAAAGCAGCUGUUUUAUUCUAGGCCAUUUACAAUCUAGUCAGGUAGGCUGGCUGAAAACAUUGAGGAACUGUAAGUAGCAAAUAUAAUGGAGGAAAAAACACUUUAAAUUAAUCUGAUUUUUUAGUGGCGUUAAUGUUUGGUUUCUGUCUUGCUUUUGGAGUCUUGCCCUGUGGUGUUUGCUUUCAGAGCUUGCUCCUGUUGGAGAUUCUGGAAUGGAAGCUCUUCUGUUAUUAAGAAGAGGACCUUUAUAGUUUAUAUAGUUUAUAUGUAAUUUAGGACCUUUAUAGUCCUAUGUCCUAUUUUUGGUUUUCAGUGUUCAUAGCUUCUUUUUUCAAUAACAUCAUAAGAAAAGACAAACCACCAUCUGUGAUUCUUUCACUGAUAUAACUCAAGGCACUGCUGCACAUUUGCUUUCUCCUUGCAGAAGAUGAGGUGAUUAGUCUGAGACAUAAUGCACUUAAUUAAGUGGUUUAUUUUGUUGCCAUGCCUAACGUUGAUCUGUAUUUUGCUACAGUGAAAUCACACAUCAAAAGUAUAAGAUGUUGUUCUGAUUGUAUCUAUUGCACGUACAAAAGCACAAACAGGCUGAUGACAUCGUUUCAGAGUCAGAAAUUAUUAGAAGAAUGAAUGUGCUGGUGAUACUUGUUGAAAUAAUGCAGACAUUUCAUGUUUUGGUAUUUAAAUGUCACUUUAUAAUCAUUAUUAUUGUGUUACUUUUCAGGGUAACCAGCAAGAAGAAAAUCAAGCACUUGAAUAAUGACUCUGGGGCAGUUCUUGGUCCUCUUUGGUUUUGCUGUGUUAUGUGAGUUACAAAGAGUGACUGUAAGUUCUAGUAUGAAACCCCAUGUAACUUGUUGAACAAUUAAACUUUAAUUACCUAAAGUUCUGUUGUGUUACCUUAACAUUAAUAAAGCGCGUGGAGUGGAUUUACUUAA